AGGAGGCUCCUUUCCCUUUCUCCCCCAAAUCGCCCUCUCCUCUGUUCCCACCUCUAUAUAAAUGGAAGCAGCACGCCGCGAGGCCACGAAAGGGCAAAAUUGAAACCCUCCUGACCCCUCUUCGCCCCGAUUUCACCGAUCGACUCCUCAAUUCCAGAGCUCUUCGGCGCCAAAGUGAUCUGAUCUGCUGUAACUAUCUGAGCACUGAAACUAGAAUUGAGUUUCAUGUUCUCGGAGACAAGAAGAUAGCUUUACUAUUAGGGUUUUGUUUUCUGGGCUCUAAUGGUCUGUAAGAGAUAGAUUAGGGAGCUGCAUUUUGGCGAUUGUAUGAAAAUUGGAGGUCGAAAUGCCAUCUUAUCGGCAGUUUUCCCGAGUUGAUACUAUGGAGCUCAAAUCUCAGCUUUUUAAGAAGCUUGGGCGGCAAAAAGCUGAGAAGUACUUCUAUAAUCUGAAAAGAUUACUCAAUUUGAAGCUCAGCAAGUUGGAAUUUGACAAGCUGUGCUAUAGUACUAUUGGGAAGGAAAAUAUUGCUCUUCACAAUAUGCUUAUCCGCUCGAUCCUUGGCAAUGCAUGUCUUGCCCUUGGCCCGCCUAGCAAAGAGACAGUUACAGGGAACUCGCGGACUAGCAAACUGUCGAGCUUUGGAGACACAUUCCCAACAUCCCCUCGAAGGGGAAGGUCUAUAAGCAGCAGGGAUCGGAGAUGCAGUGACCGUCCGAGCCCCCUCGGACCUUAUGGAAAGAUGCCUCCUGGACAUAUGCAAGAAGUCACUAAUUCGUGUGACUUGCAGAGGUCACGAGAGCAGCAAAGUGCUCCAGAGUUGAUUUCUAUUGGUAGUAAGGCUUUGUUAGAAGUUGCAUCCGUGGAAGAUGGAGAAGAGGUUGAACAAGUGAGAGCUAGUCCAAGUAUUCAAAGUAGAAGCCCCGUAAGGGCACCUCUGGGCAUUCCAAGGACUGCUGGUGCUCUUCCCCAUAAGACAUUUCGUAGUGGUUCUGUGGCUGGUUUUCAUCUUUCUAAGUCAUACGAUCCUGAGUCUUGUCGUGGUAGUUCUGUAUUGCCUGAUACAAGGUCUUUAAAAAAGCAAUUGGAGCAUAGAUUGGAGCUUGAAGGCCUUGGUUUGUCAGUGGACUGUACUAAUUUGUUGAACAAUGGUUUGGAUGCAUUUCUGAAGAGGCUGAUCAAACCCUGCAUGGACUUAGCUAGAGGCCGGUGCAGCAAUAGGUGGACAGGUCAAGCAGAUCGGAGGAUUUUUCCUGGUAUAAAUGGUGUGCUGCAAGAGGAGCAAGUGCAAGGGUCAAACCCAUGUUAUUUUGCUUCAUUACUAGAUUUUCAAGUGGCAAUGGAAUUGAAUCCUCGGUUGCUUGGUGUUGAUUGGCCUGUACAGCUUGAGAAGACAUGCUUUCGUCUCUUGGAAGAAUGAACUAAUGAUUGAACAUGAUUUCAGUCUCACUGUUGCAUUGACAUCACCUCUGCAAGUCCUACGUAAAGGAUCCACAAUCCUCAUGAGCCUUUGAUACUAUUGAAGCAACAUAGUUCAUCAUUAGCGCGCAAAUUACAGAAAAUACAUGAGUAGAAGACUGCAGAGUUUAGUCACAAGUUACAAACAAUUCAUUACACCUGCUGUGGAGAAUAAAUUUCAUAUGCCUUCCCUAUCGAUCAAAGUGACAGAUAGGUGUCACUAUCGAAGCCUCAAUUUUAUUUUUGUGAUGGGUUCAUGUCCUAUCCAUUGAAUGUAGCUGUUGAAUGUCUUAUCUCGAACUGCUGGGCUUCCAAAACAUACCUUUCGCAUGUACCAAGGUUUUGGCCUACUAGUAAAGCAAAAUAUGGUGCAUCAAUUGUGUUAGGAGCACAGAGAAUUAGAAGUAUAACCCUUGGUUUCUGCACAUGGAGCCAAUCCAUAGAUGUUCAAUGUGAUUCUCCAUGGACGUUUACUAUAUCAUUCCAAUAGACAAUCACAGAUUUGUGGAAGAUGGUGAUGGAAAGUGAUCAACGCAAAUGCCAACAGUGUAUGGAAUCAUGUCAGCUUUUUGUCUGGUAGGUCUAUCAUGAAGGAAAUUUUCUUGCCCAAGCUGGUGCUUAUUUGGAUAUGCAUAAUAAUCAUUAAUGGUUUUUAUUGUCAUGGAGGAAGCAUAUGGCAAAGUACUGCAAGAAGUAAACUGGUCAGAACAGAGGACGAACGUAUACUCCGGGGCUAUGUAAAAUUAGUUAAGAAAUGUAUGGAGUGUUGUAUUGUCAUGAGAAGCAUAAGGUUUUAAAUUCAAGGGGCCUAUAUGAAGGACCAAAUUACUUUAGUUAUAGAUGGACCCACUAUUGAUAUCCAGGUGGAGUUCCAUGGUUAUGUAAUUUAAAGGUAGUAUGAUAUUAGUUGAUAUUCUAAGAUUAAGAUUCACUACAUAUAUCCAUAGUUAUGAUUGAAGGCUUUGAGGAUAAUUACUCGAAAAUAAUCAGCACGAGUAAAAGCAUAUGUAAUGCUGUUCUUAUUGAAACUGAAAUGAAUACAAGGUUGCAGUAAAAAUUGCUACUUGUUAAUCAUAUUAUCGACAAACUUCUGUUGUCCUGAUUUAUUUACAGUAUACUUGUAAUGUAGAUUUAAGGUUAUGGAAUAUAAGCUAAACAUCAAUGUAAAUGCAUCCAUGCGCUUCCAUUAAUCAUACGUACAUGUAUUUGCAUGCACACAUACAUGUAUAUGUAUACAUAUUACAUUUUCAGGGGUGGGGGAUUGGCAGGAGAAAAAAAAGGAGUCAUAUGGCAGGCCCUUGUGAGAUGCAAUUGUUAUAUGCUGCAGAGGCUUCACCUUUUGCAUGUCCAACUGUUACUAUUUUUCAUAAAUAGUAGAUUUGUGUAUGUGUGCAUGUGUAUCCAUACAUAUAUAUAUUUUUCUCCUGAUUAGUAAGCUGGAUCUUAGGAUUUGUUACCUUAAAAAAUAAUUACAAAAAUGAACUAUCUUUGUUAACUAACCUAUCAGCUAUAUCCCUAUCUCUGAUGUUUAUGCAUAUAUUGGUACAAGGAUAUUUCUUUGUUUUAUACCUUUCUCUUCUCUUCAGAAAAUUUUGUGCAUUACUUCUUUGUAAUUUCUUGUGCAAUUUUGACAAUCGUUUCGCAUUUCCUUGACUUCCUGGCUGAUUUUUCUCAAAUGCUGAACUAGUAUGUACUUGAGUGGUGUGAGAGAAUAACUUUCUGUUGUAUUACAAACCAAAAUUAAGUCCUAUAAUAUUUUUUUCAUACCUGAAGAAAAGCUGUCUAUAUGUUACAUCUUUGUUUACUAACCUAUCAGCUACACUCCUAUCUCUGAUGUUUCUGCAUAUAUUAGUACAAGGACAUAUCAUUGUUUUAUGCCUUCCCCUUCUCUUUGAAAAUUUUGUGCAUUACUUCUUUGUAAUUUCUUGUGAAAUUUUGACAAUAGUUUCGCAUUUCCUUAACUCCCUGGCUGAGUUUUCUCAAAUGCUGAACUAGUAUGUACUUGAGUGAUCUGAGAGAAUAACUUUCUGUUGUAUUAAGAACCAAAAUUAAGUCCUAUAAUAUUCUUUUCAUAAACGAAAUGUUGUCUAUAUGGGUAUCAAAUGCAUCUGGAUUUCCUGGCAGAACCACUUUUCUUCCUAACAUAAUUAUAGUUAUGCAUGUCUCCUCUGGCACUUCAGGUCAUAUGCAUGCUAGCGUGGCUUAUUUGUUCUUUUAAAUAGGCUUUAAGCUUUCUUUGGAGCAUAUUGGAUUCUGAUUGAUUGGUUACAUCAAGCCCCUUAAUAUAAUGUUCUACUUGGGACAACUUGCUGGGUUUGAGUUUGGUCUUGGGGUAGGCCUAUUUGAAACUUUUAGAUAGGUCCAGCCCAUUGUCGCUCAUGUAUGGUAGCUCUCCUAGUAAUGGAACAAGGCCCACUUUGCUACCAUUGCAACCUCAAUCUUGAUUUAUAGAGGUAUAGUCUGUUUUACUUGAAAUGUCGGGAACUUGCGCAUGUUCUGCAACCUGAAGAAUGAAAUCAGGAUAAGUUUGGAAGGACAAAACUUUUUCAAAAAUAGCCCAUGAUUUCACUGUUUCAAAUAACUAAAUGGUGACUAGAAGCUGCUAGGGCAGUAUAAGUUUGAUGGCUGCAAUACUAGCAAGUAUUUGUCUUAGAGGGCUAAGAUUGAAGUAGCUACGGCAAAUGGAAUGUCUAUACCAUUGGUAUUCUUUUUGGUUCUAUUUAUUUUAGUAAUAAGUACUUCAUUUCAUCUUUUAUCCAUUAUCCUAUCUUUCACUUACCAAAUAUUUAUGCAAAAUAAUCCCAAAUAAUCAUUAAAGUAUCAUAUGAUUUGUUUAUCGAUUGAUGCUUUAAUUCAUUUUUGUCAUGUUCUGUGGUGGUCCUGCUGUUGCCUCUCAUAUCUAUUGUUCAAAAUGUUCUAAAUACUACAUAUAUCAACCAUUAGACAUUCUUCUCUGUUGUUUGAAAUUUUAUCUUUUUAAAAAAUUCCAAAAUCUGGGCAAAUUUUCAGUCCCACCCCCUCAAAGGGAAAAAAAACUCACCACCGCUGCCACCACAGAUUCUUUUCUAGCUGUAUAUUUCUUAAAACUCAAGGUUCUAGUAACCAAGUAACCAAGUAAUCAUGUUGCAGUAAACUGUUAGAUGAAUGGACAUUUGGUUUAUAUUGGUCAUAUUGGAUAUCUCAUGUCCAGAGAAAGAGACCAAGUAACCAAGUAAUCACUCAACGUCGAUAUUCUUCCUAGCAACCAAGUAAUCAACCAAAAAAAUUGUCUUGUGUAUUUAAACUUAUGAAUAAUUUGCUUGCUAAAUUUUCUUCCUGUUUUUGUUGUGAGUCCAUGUCAAGGGAUUCUUCACGGCAACCAAGUAAUCACCCAAAAAAGUUGUCUGGUGUGUACGAACUUGUGAAAAAUUUGCUUGUUGAAAUUUCCUGUGACUUAUUGACCUCAUUUAGCUUUUAUGUGGAUAAAAUAGACCUCAUUUAUUUUUUAUGUAUAUAAAACAAACAUGUUUCUCACGUUAUCUUCUUUCUAAAAUUAAAUAUAUAUGAACUGCACUUUUCCUUGAUCUAAGUCAAGCACUUGAAAGAAAACUACUCUAUCUAAAUCAAGUUAUUAUGGAUUUUAAUCUUAAUCACUUAUCUGAAAACUGCAUGGUUUGAUUUUGUAAUGGAUAAAGUAAUGUUGAACUUUUGUUUCAAAAACACAUGUGACCAUCUCUGUACCUCCUUUGAGUAAAAUUAAUGUUUACAUCUGACCGUGCAGGUUAGGCUUGAAUGGCCACUCCUUGAUGGCAUAUUUGCAGCCCAUUUUAGAUGUUUGUAUCUCCCUUUUUACAGCUGCUUACGUUUCCUUUACAGCCUUACUCACUUGUUUAAGCUAAGAGCACGCUGGCAGUUAGCACACUUUGUUUGGGGAAAAGUCAGGUUCAGGUGCUCCAUACUUGGGACAACAAGAUAAUGCUGCUGCUUGAAUUGAACUAACUGCAUCCUUUACAAGUUGGCCUUAAAUUAAUACAUAACUGGAAGUUUUCAGAUAAAAAGCGUUUUAUUUUAUUUCAAGCUUGGUCGAUGCUUUUACUUAGGAAUUGUUCAACCUCUUGUUAUGCACAUAGAGUUCUGGAGCAUGUGGCUCGUAUAGUUUGUUUUUUAUUUGGCUGCAUUCUCACUUUCCUUUGCCCUGUUCAGUGAAUGCGAUUCUGUGCUGCUGAAAAUUUCCCAGUGUGGAAAUUGUCAAAGCAAUCAUAAAUUUCAAUAAUCAUAAAGUCACAGGUCACUGCCCACAUGAUGAGGGCAUGGAGUGUAUUUGAAAACUAUGGAAAUAUGGGAUUCCGUCCUUCUAAACGAGCACUUCUGAGGAGGUAAUAUAUUAGUUACUCAAAAUAGAACUGCAAUGAAGUUGAACUUCUAUUGGAUACUGCUUUUUCAUUAGUAAAUUUGUAUCAUGUUUUCGAGAUAAUAGUGCUAAAAAAUAACUAUAUUCGAAGAUUAACUACAACAUAUUUCAUUUUUUUUCUGCUGAGUUGUGUUCCACACAUUCCUAUUCUGUGAAAAAAAUACGUGGAAAAGGAAAAAAAUCAACAAUUGAAGGUAUGUUCGAAAAUGAAGUAUCAUGUAAAAUAUUUGACCAGUAAAUUGAGUUUUCAAUUUAAAUUUAUGCCAAUAAACAUUAGUUGGUAUACAAUAUGAGGUAGUUGAGCCAGGUCUCCAGCAUGUAGGCACCCUAGGUAACUUCUUGACUGUGCCCAAGGAUCAUAUUCCUGAGUUCUUAUGUUAAGGAGCUACUAAGUGAGACAGAGGUAGGGGAGAGAACAAAACGAAUUAGAUAGAGAGAAAAAGUACCCUGAGACGUGAUAUGUGAAAAAAAAAAAAAGAAAAAAUAAUGGACACUGGAAUUUAUAUGAUUUGCAUUGGUCUAAUUGUGAAUUUUCUGUUUGAAGGCAUGUUCUGAAGUUGAUGAAGGUUAGAUUGCUGCUGCUUCUGCUACCACCAUGGCUAAAUAUCCAUUCUAUAGUAUCUUAUUAUUACAUGAAUUUUGUCAUUGUACUAAUGUUAUAGGAGAAGAUGCUAUGAGCAUUCCCCGUAGUUGCUUUCAGUCGUGCUUCAUGGGGAGGCAUUAUAUGAUGGUGCUAAAAUAUUUUGGGGUGCUUGUGCUCAGAGAAUCCAUUCUUUCAUUAUCUUUGGUUAGGCAGGAAAUCGAUGCUAUGUUGGUUAUACCUUUUAGAGAUGUCUUUUUUUUAAUUUAUUUGAUUGUGUUUGGAGGAGGUUACUUAGGAGUACUACUUCAAUGCCUGUGAAAGCAAUUCCUGGGAAAUAUACGACCUCAUUUGCUCUCGAUAAUGUGGUAUUUGGUUGUACAUGAGCAAUGGUGAACCUUCGUAGAGGGUAAUGAUCUAGUGAUCACAGCUCAAUGUGAAGGUUAAUGAAUCAUUAUGGUGUUUCCUAAAUCUGAGAGACAAAUUUUCGGGGAGACAGAAAAUUGGAUAAUACUUAAUGCUGCAAUGAGAUCUUAUAAAGCUCCAUGAUUUUGAAAUUUGAUCAAUUUAAACUGCUUCGACCUUGGAAAAUUUUUAUCAGCCACGAGCUAUCUACAGGGAGUAGAAUCUCUGGGUGCGCUCGACGAACUUUUGGCCCGGGUAUUGUACAAACACCGUCCAAUUUUGUGAUGAUCCUUCCGGAUCCAGAUUCUGAAAAUUACUCUUAGGUUGGCUUUAAACGUCGUGCUGAUCCUC